ensembl:lncRNA
AGACAUAUUCAGUAUGUAGGUUUUAAUUUAAAGACGGUGUUUGGUACUGUAUUUACUAUAGAAGUUACUUUUGUUAUACAAAAUAUACACAUAAUAUAACUUUUGUUGACCAUAAAUGGAUUUUGGUUACUCCUCAUAUGUUGUACAUAGUUCUUUAAACCUGUCACAUGUUCUUUUGUACUCCACCCUAUACACCAUGUCAAUGUGCCAAGUUUUUGGCUAAUAGCUCUUUGGAAAGCACCUUGUUGGUCUGUCAACCUGUGUUAUCUUUUGAAUUUUCCAUUGAACUGUUGAAAAGGGAACAUAUUAUGUGUUUAUUUGACAGGUUCCUUCUAAUAGAGUGCUUAAGAACAAAACAGAAUGAAAGAGAACAAGCAAAAAAAAAAAAAAAAAUACUGGACUGAUAAUAAGUUAAAAAGCAAUCAAUGUCUAUUAUUCAAGACAUCUUUAAAAAAAAUACAAGAAAUUCUGGUUCCUUCAAACCAAAGUAUAAAGAAAUGGGGAUGAUUCAAGACUUUUCCACAGUACUGUAAUUAUUUGUGUUUUUUAGAUGAAACUUUAUUAAUCCCUCGGGUGGGUUCCUCCGGGAAGUUCAGUUUCCAGUAGCAAAGCACCGAAAGAAGUUGCAUGUUACAGAUACAUUAAGGGAAUGAGAGUAAGGAUAUAAGCAUAAAUACACCAUAUAUACACAUAUACACACAUAUAGAUACAGAAUAUACAAUAUGGAUAAAUAGGAUUGCUCAUUUGAGUGAGUAUAUUGCACAGUGAUUAUUGCACAGUCAAAUAUAAGAAAAAAAGACAAAACAAAAAAACAAAUAUAGCAAAUAUUGCACAGUGUAGAAAAGCACCUACAGCUCAGUUGUUCCCGCCCUCCCUUGAGUUAAACAGUCUGAUGGCGUGUGGGACAAGGGAGUUUUUAAGUCUGUUGGUUUUUGACUUUGGGAGAAGCAGCCUGUCGCUGAAUAGGCUCCUCUGAUUGUUUACGAGCAUGUGCAGAGGAUGCCUGGCAUUGUUCAUAAUGUCCAUCAGUUUCCUUAAGGUCCUCUUCUCUGCCACUGUCACCAGAGUGUCCAGCUUCGUGUGUGUGUUCAGAGUGUUCAGCUUUUAAUAUGUUUCCAAUAAUUUUAAGCAACUCUUUGGGUUAUCUAAUAUUUUAAUAGUAGCUGCCCUGCUUUGUUCAGAA